UCUCUGUGCUCCUGCAUGGUUUUGGUGGU
rnacentral:piRNA from 1 species